rnacentral:lncRNA from 1 species
AAAUUUUCUCACAGCAUGCAUUCAUUAUAGCUCCUCGCUGUUACUUUCAGUCAUCUUGAUCCAAAUACAGGGGGAUGCCUCGCACAGCCAACACAGUAACAUGCCGCAAGCAUCAAUGACAUCAGGCACUCGUGCACCAAUGACUAGGGCAAUGCUACAGAACCUUCACGAAGUCUUAUUGCAACUUUCAUGGUAUCUUGUCAUUCACGGGGGUUCCUGGAAAAUCCAAGGUUCAGGUUCUUCAUGGCAGCCAAGGAGCCCGCCAUGGUUUCUCUCAUCUUCUCUCCAGCUGCUGCUGCGCUGGACCGUGCUGCUGCCGUGCUGCCGCCAAACCUGGCCAGGCCAGAAUACAUUUUUUCAAGCAUCUUGGAUGCUGAAUUUCUUACCUAUUUUGGCACGGUGAGCUAUCAGGCGCUGCAACUGUUGCCCUCGUGGAUUCCAGAAAUGUUAACGAGUGCAGCUGCACCAAGGCAAAUACAGCUAGGGAGUGUUUCAGCACUUAGGAUAUAAAAAGGUUAGUACAUCUUUUGGCUUCAAUUAUAGUAAGGAUCCCACACAGCAGCAGCAGCGCUUACCUGAAGCGUGACACAAACUCCUGCGUGGUGGUUGCCUGCGAGCGACCAGCGACGCUUGGCCGCGCAGCCGCAUAGGCGGCCGCAGCAGCCGCAGCCGGAACGGCGGCCGGGGCCGGGGCCGGCAUGGGCGCCACCGAGGGGAC